rnacentral:rRNA from 1 species
UACGAAGGGUGCAAGCGUUAAUCGGAGUUACUGGGCGUAAAGCGUGCGUAGGCGGUUUCUUAAGUCUGCUGUGAAAGCCCUGGGCUCAACCUGGGAAUGGCGGUGGAUACUGAGAAGCUGGAGUACGGUAGAGGAAGGUGGAAUUCCCGGUGUAGCGGUGAAAUGCGUAGAGAUCGGGAGGAACAUCAGUGGCGAAGGCGGCCUUCUGGACCAGUACUGACGCUGAGGCACGAAAGCGUGGGGAGCAAACAGG